rnacentral:rRNA from 1 species
UAACCUGCGGAGGGAUCAUUACUGAGUUUACGCUCUAUAACCCUUUGUGAACAUACCUAUAACUGUUGCUUCGGCGGGUAGGGUCUCCGCGACCCUCCCGGCCUCCCGCCUCCGGGCGGGUCGGCGCCCGCCGGAGGAUAACCAAACUCUGAUUUAACGACGUUUCUUCUGAGUGGUACAAGCAAAUAAUCAAAACUUUUAACAACGGAUCUCUUGGUUCUGGCAUCGAUGAAGAACGCAGCGAAAUGCGAUAAGUAAUGUGAAUUGCAGAAUUCAGUGAAUCAUCGAAUCUUUGAACGCACAUUGCGCCCGCCAGCAUUCUGGCGGGCAUGCCUGUUCGAGCGUCAUUUCAACCCUCAAGCUCUGCUUGGUGUUGGGGCCCUACAGCUGAUGUAGGCCCUCAAAGGUAGUGGCGGACCCUCCCGGAGCCUCCUUUGCGUAGUAACUUUACGUCUCGCACUGGGAUCCGGAGGGACUCUUGCCGUAAAACCCCCCAAUUUCCAAAGGUGACCUCGAUCAG